rnacentral:rRNA from 1 species
GAUGAACGCUGGCGGCGUGCCUAACACAUGCAAGUCGAACGGUCAACUUCGGUUGAUAGUGGCGCACGGGUGAGUAACACGUGAUUGAUCUACCCCAAAGUAGGGGGAUAACGUUCCGAAAGGAAUGCUAAUACCCUAUAAGCUCCCGAUGUUUAGAAGAUUGGGAGAAAAGUUCCGGCGCUUUGGGAGGAGACUGCGGG